AUGUGCAUCCCCAAGGAAGAUGGAGGUAUGGGCUUUCGUGAUCUGCAUUCCUUCAAUUUAGCUAUGUUGGCGAAACAAUCUUGGAGACUGCUUUCAAAUCCAGAUUCUCUGUGUGCCAGAGUUCUUAAAGCUAAAUAUUACCCAAACUGUCACUUGUUGAAGGCGGGUCCGAAGAAGGGGUCAUCUUUUACCUUGCAAAGCAUAGUAGCAGGUCUACGUGCUUUUUGCAGAGGACACAUUUGGAGAGUGGGUUCAAGGGAGAUGAUUAACAUCUGGGAGGAUCAUUGGAUUCCAGGAAGCAUAAAUCGCAUGAUACAGACUCCGAAGGGACAAAUAUUAUUGCAAACAGUUAAUGAGCUCAUUGAUCCAACAACUGGCAAAUGGGAUGAGUGA
rnacentral:rRNA from 1 species